rnacentral:snRNA from 1 species
AGCACUUACUUCAGUGAUAUAAACUAAAAUCGGAAAUGAUACAGACAAGAUUAGCAUGUGUGAGGAUGACACACAAACUUGCGAAGCAUUUCUUUUUGUU